ACCUGGGUGGCUUAGUCGGUUAAGCAUCUGACUUUAGCUCAGGUCAUGAUCUCAUGGUUUGUGGGUUCGGGCCCUGCACCGGGCU
rnacentral:tRNA from 1 species